rnacentral:rRNA from 1 species
AUUGAACGCUGGCGGCAGGCCUAACACAUGCAAGUCGAACGAGUGGCGGACGGGUGAGUAACGUCUGGGCAACUGCCCGAUGGAGGGGGAUAACUACUUGAACAGGUAGCUAAUACCGCAUACCAUCGGAUGUGCCCAGCUGGGAUUAGCUAGUAGGUGGGGUAAUGGCUCACUUAGGCUACGAUCCCUAACUGGUCCGAGAGGAUGACCGGCCACACGGGAAAUGAGACACGGUGCAGACUCCUACGGUAGGCAGCAGGGGGGAAUAUUGCACAAGGGGCGCAAGCCUGAUGCAGCCAUGCCGCGUGGAUGAAGAAGGCCUUCGGGUUGUAAAGUACUUUCAGCGGGGAGGCGUUACCCGCAUAGGAAGCACCGGCUAACUCCGUGCCAGCAGCCGCGGUAAUAC